AAAUAGUUUAAUGUUCGAUUAUUUAUGGGUUGAUUUUAUCGACGAAUAUUUGCUGUAAAUAAUCUAACGAUCGUCGUUACUACUGACUUGUGUGUAACCGGUGUAUGUUUAUAUUUCCUGACUGUUUAGAGUCCGAAAUCAUAAUUAAACUAGCAAGAUGAUGG